rnacentral:rRNA from 1 species
UACGGAGGAUGCGAGCGUUAUCCGGAUUUAUUGGGUUUAAAGGGUGCGUAGGCGGACUGUCAAGUCAGCGGUAAAAUUGAGAGGCUCAACCUCUUCCCGCCGUUGAAACUGGUGGUUUUGAGUGGAUGAGAAGUACGCGGAAUGCGUGGUGUAGCGGUGAAAUGCAUAGAUAUCACGCAGAACUCCGAUUGCGAAGGCAGCGUACCGGCAUCCAACUGACGCUGAGGCACGAAAGCGUGGGGAUCAAACAGG